rnacentral:rRNA from 1 species
UACGGAGGGUGCAAGCGUUAAUCGGAAUUACUGGGCGUAAAGCGCGCGUAGGCGGUUUGUUAAGUCGGAUGUGAAAUCCCCGAGCUCAGCUUGGGAACUGCAUCCGAUACUGGCUUGCUAGAGUGUGGUAGAGGGAAGUGGAAUUCCAGGUGUAGCGGUGAAAUGCGUAGAUAUCUGGAGGAACAUCAGUGGCGAAGGCGGCUUCCUGGACCAACACUGACGCUGAGGCGCGAAAGCGUGGGGAGCAAACAGGAUUAGAUACCCUGGUAGU